rnacentral:rRNA from 1 species
GGACCCGACUGCUAUCGGGGUAGGGCUAAGCCAUGGAAGUCGAACGCCCCGCCGCUGCGGGGCGUGGCGCACGGCUGAGUAACGCGUGGCUAACCUACCCUCGGGAGGGGGAUAACCUCUCGGGAAACUGGGGCUAAUCCCCCAUAGGCGGGGAGGCCUGGAAAGGUUCCCCGCCAAAAGGGAGCGCGGGGGGCCAUCGCCUGCGCUCCGCCCGAGGAUGGGGCUGCGGCCUAUCAGGUAGUUGGCGGGGUAACGGCCCGCCAAGCCGAAGACGGGUAGGGGCCGUGAGAGCGGGAGCCCCCAGAUGGGCACUGAGACAAGGGCCCAGGCCCUACGGGGCGCACCAGGCGCGAAAACUCCGCAAUGCGGGAAACCGUGACGGGGCUACCCCGAGUGCCCCCCUUGUGGGGGCUUUUCCCCGCUGUAAGAAGGCGGGGGAAUAAGCGGGGGGCAAGUCUGGUGUCAGCCGCCGCGGUAAUACCAGCCCCGCGAGACCGGGGCCCUAAACAAGCCCCGGCGCGACUGGUCGGGGUGAUUAUUGGGCCUAAAGCGGCCGUAGCCGGCCCGGUAAGUCCCCCCUGAAAGUCUCGGGCUCAACCCGAGAAGCGGGGGGAUACUGCCGGGCUAGGGGGCGGGAGAGGCCGAGGGUACUCCCGGGGUAGGGGCGAAAUCCUAUAAUCCCGGGAGGACCACCAGUGGCGAAGGCGCUCGGCUGGAACGCGCCUGACGGUGAGGGCCGAAAGCCGGGGGAGCGAACCGGAUUAGAUACCCGGGUAGUCCCGGCUGUAAACGAUGCGG